GGGUGUAUGGUCUAGUGGUAUGAUUUUCGCUUCGCACCUGGUCCUGUCCAGUUUCUGGUCAAGCUUCCAAUGCCCUGUGAAAGGUCCCCGGUUCAAUCCCGGGUGCAUCCA